AUCGUAACUCCUACGGGAGGCAGCAGUGGGGAAUUUUGGACAAUGGGGGCAACCCUGAUCCAGCAAUGCCGCGUGAGUGAAGAAGGCCUUCGGGUUGUAAAGCUCUUUUGUCAGGGAAGAAACGGUAGUAGCUAAUAUCUAUACUAAUGACGGUACCUGAAGAAUAAGCACCGGCUAACUACGUGCCAGCAGCCGCGGUGAUACGUAGGGUGCAAGCGUUAAUCGGAAUUACUGGGCGUAAAGCGUGCGCAGGCGGUUGUGUAAGUCAGAUGUGAAAUCCCCGGGCUCAACCUGGGAAUUGCAUUUGAGCCUGAACGGGUAGAGUGUGUCAGAGGGGGGUAGAAUUCCACGUGUAGCAGUGAGAUGCGUAGAUAUGUGGAGGAAUACCGAUGGCGAAGGCAGCCCCCUGGGAUAACACUGACGCUCAUGCACGAAAGCGUGGGGAGCAAACAGGAUUAGAAACCCGUGUAGUCCUAGAGC
rnacentral:rRNA from 1 species